rnacentral:rRNA from 1 species
GACGAACUCUGGCGGCGUGCUUAACACAUGCAAGUCGAACGGUGACGGGACUGGUUUUGCUGGUCCUGGAUGAGUGGCGAACUGGUGAGUAACACGUGAGUAACCUGCCCCCUUCUUCUGGAUAACCGCAUGAAAGUGUGGCUAAUACGGGAUAUUCUGGGUCUGUCGCAUGGUGGGCCUGGGAAAGAUUGCGCCUUUUUUGGUGUUUUUGGUGGGGGAUUGUCUCGCGGCCUAUCAGCUUGUUGGUGGGGUGAUGGCCUACCAAGGCUGUGACGGGUAGCCGGGCUGAGAGGGUGGACGGGCACACUGGGACUGAGACACGGCCCAGACUGCUACGGGAGGCAGCAGUGGGGAAUAUUGCACAAUGGGCGCAAGCAUGAUGGAGCGACGACGCGUGAGGGAUGGAGGCCGUCGGGGUGUGAGCCUCUUUCGCCAGUGAAGCAGGCCUGCGUCUUUUUGUGGGUGGGGUGACGGUAGCUGGAUAAGAAGCGCGGGCUAACUACGUG